GGGGUCCUACGGGAGGCAGCAGUGGGGAAUAUUGCACAAUGGGGGAAACCCUGAUGCAGCAACGCCGCGUGAGUGAGGAAGUAUUUCGGUAUGUAAAGCUCUAUCAGCAGGGAAUAGAAAAGAAGGUAUCUGAAAAAGAAGCCCCGGCUAACUACGUGCCAGCAGCCGCGGUAAUACGUAGGGGGCAAGCGUUAUCCGGAUUUACUGGGUGUAAAGGGAGCGUAGACGGCCAUGCAAGCCAGGGGUGAAAGCCCGGGGCCCAACCCCGGGACUGCCCUUGGAACUGCAUGGCUGGAGUGCGGGAG
rnacentral:rRNA from 1 species